AGGAUCGAGUAUAGAAGAUUCAAAUAUAAGACUUUGUAUACUUAAAGACAAAUUGCCAAAGAUUCUGAGUAUAUCCAAAGAUUGUUGUUGCUUGUCUGUGAUACUCUUAUCGAAUGUCCAACAUGGAAUAUUGAUUAUUUGGUUGUGAGGUUAGGAAUGCUAGACAUUUUAUCCAAUCCAAAUGCUGUGAUGUAGGUACUUAAAUACACCUGAUGUCGAAAGUGGUAUAUCAUCAUUACAAUUGGCCAUUUAUGAUAAUUCAUUAGCUGUUGUCAAAGCAUUAAUUUUUUUGGAUGUUUCUUUGGACCACUUAGAUAAUGAAGUCAAUUCAGUUUUUCAUUAUGCUGCUAAAUCUAGUAGUGAUAUAAUUUUGGUUUUAUCUAAAGUGAGCACAAAAUGCUUGAACUAUCGUAAUAUAAAUGGAUUUACUCCUCUUCACUUGGUGUGUCAUGUGGAUAAACCAGAAUGUGUUAAAGAAUUGUUAGUUUGUGGGGCUGAUGUAAAUAUUCCAGCUGGAGUUCCUGUUACUAAUGUAACCGAAAAUAAAUUACCUGGAAUUGUCA